UACGGAGGGUGCGAGCGUUGUCCGGAAUCAUUGGGCGUAAAGGGCGCGUAGGCGGUGCGGUAAGUCUGUAGUGAAAUCUCUGGGCUCAACUCAGAGUCUGCUGCAGAAACUGCCGGGCUUGAGUGUGGGAGAGGUGAGUGGAAUUCCCGGUGCAGCGGUGAAAUGCGUAGAUAUCGGGAGGAACACCUGUGGCGAAAGCGGCUCACUGGACCACAACUGACGCUGAGGCGCGAAAGCUAGGGGAGCAAACAGG
rnacentral:rRNA from 1 species